GAUGAACGCUGGCGGCGUGCCUAAUACAUGCAAGUCGAGCGAACGGACGAGAAGCUUGCGUCUCUGAUGUUAGCGGCGGACGGGUGAGGAACACGUGGAUAACCUACCUAUAAGACUGGGAUAACUUCGGGAAACCGGGGCUAAGACCGGAUAAUAUUUUGAACCGCAUGGUUCAAAAGUGAAAGACGGUCUUGCUGUCACUUAUAGAUGGAUCCGCGCUGCAUUAGCUAGUUGGUAAGGUAACGGCUUACCAAGGCAACGAUGCAUAGCCGACCUGAGAGGGUGAUCGGCCACACUGGAACUGAGACACGGUCCAGACUCCUACGGGAGGCCGCAGUAGGGAAUCUUACGCAAUGGGGGAAAGCCUGACGGAGGAACGCCGCGUGAGUGAUGAAGGUCUUCGGAUCCUAAAGCUCUGUUAUUAGGGAGGAACAUAUGUGUAAGUACCUGUGCACAUCUUGACGGUACCUAAUCAGAAGGCCCCGGCUAACUCCGUG
rnacentral:rRNA from 1 species